AUUGAACGCUGGCGGCAGGCCUAACACAUGCAAGUCGAGCGGAUGAAGGGAGCUUGCUCCUGGAUUCAGCGGCGGACGGGUGAGUAAUGCCUAGGAAUCUGCCUGGUAGUGGGGGAUAACGUCCGGAAACGGGCGCUAAUACCGCAUACGUCCUGAGGGAGAAAGUGGGGGAUCUUCGGACCUCACGCUAUCAGAUGAGCCUAGGUCGGAUUAGCUAGUUGGUGGGGUAAAGGCCUACCAAGGCGACGAUCCGUAACUGGUCUGAGAGGAUGAUCAGUCACCACUGAACUUGAGAACGGUCCCAACUCCUAAGGGAGGGCAGCGGGGGGAAUAUUGGACAAUGGGCGAAAGCCUGAUCCAGCCAUGCCGCGUGUGUGAAGAAGGUCUUCGGAUUGUAAAGCACUUUAAGUUGGGAGGAAGGGCAGUAAGUUAAUACCUUGCUGUUUUGACGUUACCAACAGAAUAAGCACCGGCUAACUUCGUG
rnacentral:rRNA from 1 species